rnacentral:rRNA from 1 species
CGAGUCCGAGUCUCCACGGAGACGAAGUGGCGGUCAUCCAGCUUCCCAGAAAAGCUCUAACCACGUUAAUCUUUAGUUGCCUGUACCCGAAACCGACACAGGUAGGGGGGUAGAGAAUACCAAGGGGCGCGAGAUAACUCUCUCUAAGGAACUCGGCAAAAUGACCCCGUAACUUCGGGAGAAGGGGUACCACUGAGAAGUGGUCGCAGUGAAGAGGCCCAGGCGACUGUUUACCAAAAACACAGGUCUCCGCCAAGUCGCAAGACGAAGUAUGGGGGCUGACGCCUGCCCAGUGCCGGAAGGUUAAGGAAGUGGGUUAGGGAUUCGUCCCGAAGCUGACGACUGAAGCCCCGGUGAACGGCGGCCGUAACUAUAACGGUCCUAAGGUAGCGAAAUUCCUUGUCGGGUAAGUUCCGACCCGCACGAAAGGCGUAACGAUCUGGGCGCUGUCUCGGAGAGAGGCUCGGCGAAAUAGGAAUGUCUGUGAAGAUACGGACUACCUGCACCUGGACAGAAAGACCCUAUGAAGCUUUACUGUAGCUUGGAAUUGGGUUCGGGCUUGGUUUGCGCAGGAUAGGUGGGAGGCGAAGAAGAUUUGCUUGUGGGUGAAUCUGAGCCAACGGUGAGAUACCACUCUAACCAGGCUAGAAUUCUAACUUCAACCCGUCAACCGGGGGAAGGACAGUUUCAGGUGGGCAGUUUGACUGGGGCGGUCGCCUCCUAAAAGAUAACGGAGGCGCACAAAGGUUCCCUCAGGCUGGUUGGAAGUCAGCCAACGAGUGCAAAGGCAGAAGGGAGCUUGACUGCGAGACCUACAAGUCAAGCAGGGUGGAAACACGGUCUUAGUGAUCCGACGGCACCGAGUGGAAGGGCCGUCGCUCAACGGAUAAAAGUUACUCUAGGAUAACAGGCUGAUCUCCCCCAAGAGUUCACAUCGACGGGGAGGUUUGGCACCUCGAUGUCGGCUCAUCGCAACCUGGGGCGGAAGUACGUCCCAAGGGUUGGGCUGUUCGCCCAUUAAAGCGGUACGUGAGCUGGGUUCAGAACGUCGUGAGACAGUUCGGUCCAUAUCCGGUGUAGGCGCAAGAACAUUGAGAGGAGUCUUCCUUAGUACGAGAGGACCGGGAAGAACGCGCCGCUGGUGUACCUGUUAUCGUGCCAACGGUAAACGCAGGGUAGCCAAGUGCGGAGUGGAUAACCGCUGAAAGCAUCUAAGUGGGAAGCCCACCUCAAGAUGAGUGUUCUCAUGGAGUAAUCCAGUAAGGUCACGGGAAGACGACCCGUUGAUAGGCGGUAGGUGGAAGUUCAGCAAUGGAUGAAGCCGAGCCGUACUAACAGACCGAGGGCUUGACC